rnacentral:rRNA from 1 species
CUUGGUCAUUUAGAGGAAGUAAAAGUCGUAACAAGGUCUCCGUAGGUGAACCUGCGGAGGGAUCAUUACACAAUAACAAUACGAAGGCCGUUCGCGGCUGGACUAUUUUAUUACCCUUGUCUUUUGCGCACUUGUUGUUUCCUGGGCGGGUUCGCUCGCCACCAGGACCACCAUAUAAACCUUUUUUAUGCAGUUGCAAUCAGCGUCAGUAUAACAAAUGUAAAUCAUUUACAACUUUCAACAACGGAUCUCUUGGUUCUGGCAUCGAUGAAGAACGCAGCGAAAUGCGAUAAGUAAUGUGAAUUGCAGAAUUCAGUGAAUCAUCGAAUCUUUGAACGCACAUUGCGCCCCCUGGUAUUCCGGGGGGCAUGCCUGUUCGAGCGUCAUUUCACCACUCAAGCCUCGCUUGGUAUUGGGCGACGCGGUCCGCCGCGCGCCUCAAAUCGACCGGCUGGGUCUUCUGUCCCCUCAGCGUUGUGGAAACUAUUCGCUAAAGGGUGCUCGGGAGGCUACGCCGUUAAACAACCCCAUUUCUAAGGUUGACCUCGGAUCAGGUAGGGAUACCCGCUGAACUUAAGCAUAUCAAUAAGCGGAGGA